GGCAGCCAGCAAGCACCCAGCCUGGGAGCAGAGCACAGCUGCACCUGCAGCUCACAGAGCUCACAGUGCUCCCCAGGGCCCCUUCUGCUCAGCACCCAACUCCCCAAAGGGCACAGCCAGAUCCUCUGCAACACCUGGACCUUAUCCAGAAGAUGUCCCCAAGAGCUGAGUGCUGGGUGGGCAUGGUGCAGCUAGCAGGUACAAAGAGACAGAAUUCGGGCCCAAGAAGCAGUUGGAUGGCUGCUAGAAUUUAUGUUACUAAAAUGCCCUUAUUUGUUCCAACUGAGGAAAUAUUCCUUCUGAACAGUGGAAAUGUCAUCAGCUUGGACAUCCUCGUGAGGUUUCUAGCAUCUGUGGUUCCAGUUUGGACCUGCUCUGGGCUCAGAUAAAAGAGGAAGAACAUGAUGUUGUCCUAAAGGAGGGUGCUGGCAUGAAACCACAAGCGGUCACUUGCGGCAGCAAGCUUUGCUUUGUCCCUGUCAGAAAUGAGAGGAGAAGAAAAGCACGUCUGGGGAGCUGCAGAACUCCAGGUUGCUCAGACGACUCCUUCCCAAGCAACUGUGCAUAGAACAGUAUCAUCAUGGGUUUGGUGAUGGAGGUUGGUGUUAUCGAGUCUUGGUGGCACAUUGAUAAAUAUGCAUUAAACUGCACAGGCUCAAAA